AGAAGCAUUGUUAAGGAACUCGGCAAAAUGACCCCGUAACUUCGGGAGAAGGGGUGCCCACUUCAGGGUGGGCCGCAGAGAAUAGGCUCAAGCAACUGUUUAGCAAAAACACAGGUCUAUGCGAAACCGAAAGGUGAGGUAUAUGGGCUGACGCCUGCCCGGUGCUGGAAGGUUAAGAGGAGAGGUUAGCGCAAGCGAAGCUUUGAAUUUAAGCCCCAGUAAACGGCGGCCGUAACUAUAACGGUCCUAAGGUAGCGAAAUUCCUUGUCGGGUAAGUUCCGACCCGCACGAAAGGCGUAAUGAUUUGAGCACUGUCUCGACAAUGCAUCCGGUGAAAUUGAAGUACCAGUGAAGAUGCUGGUUACCCGCGCCAGGACGGAAAGACCCCAUGGAGCUUUACUCCAGUUUGGUACUGGGAUUCGGUACUGCAUGUACAGGAUAGGUGGGAGACUGAGAAAUUGGAACGCCAGUUUCAAUGGAGUCACUGUUGGGAUACCACCCCUGCAGUAUUGGGUUUCUAACCAGCCGCUGUGAUCCAGCGGUGGGACAAUGCCAGGCGGGGAGUUUGACUGGGGCGGUCGCCUCCGAAAGGGUAUCGGAGGCGCUCAAAGGUUCCCUCAGAAUGGUUGGAAACCAUUCGAAGAGUGCAAAGGCAGAAGGGAGCUUGACUGCGACACCGACGGGUGGAGCAGGUACGAAAGUAGGACUUAGUGAUCCGGUGGUAUGAAAGUGGGAUUGCCAUCGCUCAACGGAUAAAAGCUACCCUGGGGAUAACAGGCUUAUCACUCCCAAGAGUUCACAUCGACGGAGUGGUUUGGCACCUCGAUGUCGGCUCAUCGCAUCCUGGGGCUGUAGUAGGUCCCAAGGGUUGGGCUGUUCGCCCAUUAAAGCGGUACGCGAGCUGGGUUCAGAACGUCGUGAGACAGUUCGGUCCCUAUCCGGCGCGGGCGGAGGAUAUUUGAGAGGAGCUGUCCUUAGUACGAGAGGACCGGGAUGGACGGACCACUGGUGUAUCUGCUGUCGACCAACGGCAUGGCAGAGUAGCCAAGUCCGGAAGGGAUAAACGCUGAAGGCAUCUAAGCGUGAAGCCCCCCUCAAGAUGAGAUAUCCCUCACAUAAGUGAGUAAGAUCCCUUGAAGAGUACAAGGUAGAUAGGGCAGAGGUGGAAGCACGGUAACGUGUGGAGCUGACUGUUACUAAUCGAUCGAGGGCUUGACCAA
rnacentral:rRNA from 1 species